CACAUGCAAGUCGCACGNGAAAGGGCUUGGCCCCGGUAAAGUGGCGCACGGGUGAGUAACACGUGGGUAAUCUGCCUUCGANCGGGGGAUAACAUUCCGAAAGGAGUGCUAAUACCGCAUAAGACCACGCCCUCGAAAGAGGAAGCGGUCAAAGCUGGCCUCUAUAUAUAAGCUAGCACUUGAGGAUGAGCCCGCGGUGCAUCAGCUAGUUGGUGAGGUAAUGGCUCACCAAGGCUAAGACGCAUAGCUGGUCUGAGAGGAUGAUCAGCCACACUGGAACUGAGACACGGUCCAGACUCCUACGGGAGGCAGCAGUGGGGAAUCUUGCGCAAUGGGGGAAACCCUGACGCAGCGACGCCGCGUGAGUGAUGAAGGCCUUCGGGUUGUAAAGCUCUGUGGGGAGAGACGAAUAAGUGCAGCCUAAUACGUUGCAUGAUGACGGUAUCUCCUUAGCAAGCACCGGCUAACUCUGUGCCAGCCGCCGCGGUAAUAC
rnacentral:rRNA from 1 species